rnacentral:other from 1 species
ACAUUCCUGAGAUGUUCGCCAAGCUUAUAAUAUUCAACCUACAUUAUAUUUUCGGGAUUUGCAACAGGUUUAAAUAUGUCGGGCUUCAAAGCUUUUAGCUUCAUAUUAUGCAGAAGAAGGCAGAAGGUAAAUUGAGCAGAACCCACCUGCGAGAGGCAGGUCUUGAAUAUAUAGGCAAACGGCAUAUUUGGGAAUUUA